UACGGGGGGGGCAAGCGUUGUUCGGAAUUACUGGGCGUAAAGGGCUCGUAGGCGGCCAACUAAGUCAGACGUGAAAUCCCUCGGCUUAACCGGGGAACUGCGUCUGAUACUGGAUGGCUUGAGGUUGGGAGAGGGAUGCGGAAUUCCAGGUGUAGCGGUGAAAUGCGUAGAGAUCGGGAGGAAGGCCGGUGGCGAAGGCGGCGCUCUGGAACGGCCCUGACACUGAGGCUCGAAAGCGUGGGGAGCAAACAGG
rnacentral:rRNA from 1 species